rnacentral:lncRNA from 1 species
CUGACGUUUACCCAUACUUCCUAUUGGUGCUGCAGCAGCUGAAAGGCAUCUGGUCAGUGUCAGCAGUUAUCUGCCUUUUUUCUUCCUACUGUGCCUCGUUAACGUAUGCUCACUAACUCAAUUCUGUUUUGAAAGGAAAUAUAUGAGAAAUUAACCGGCAAGGCAUCAGCAGCUGCCAGAACUCCAGGGGAAAAGAAAUCCAUGAGCUAAUGGAGUUAGCAGCAAUGCAAACUUGGACAUGGCUACAAAUUGCUUCAGCAUAUGUGAUCCUGAAAACAAAGAGAGGGUCAAAGGAAUUGGGAAUCUGGGAGGAAAGCCGGGGCAUUGCCUGUGGUGUAUAGCACAGUCCCGUUUCCUGCAGCACUUGCCUGGCUCAGCACUGAGUCUGUGUGCUGAGAUUCAGUGCUGCACACUGGGCGCAGGGAGAGCUCUUUCUUGGUUGAUUCUUCUGGACUGACUUCCCGAGGCAGGAGCUGGAAACCAAAAUGGCAUCAGGGUUUCAGCACACAGAGAUGCUGUAAAUCCCAGUGAAUGAGGCCCAGUGUGGAGUGGUUAUUUUCAGGCACACUGCUACCAAUCUAUCCUGAGAGAGAGCUGGUCUCUGGGCAUCAAUAAGAGAACUCAGACAACACAGCAGGAGCAGGAGAGAUGUACAGGAGUCAUUUAAAAAUAGAAAAAUAUAAUUUAAAAACAAACUCUUCUGGAUGUAACUUGAAAAAUAAGCAAGUAGAAAAUAUGAAAUAAAUGCAAAUAUCUCCAGGUUUCUAGUUCUUCAAAAGUGAUGAUGGUUCAGGUGGGUGAUGAGCAGCUACGGAAGUAAACUAUUAAAUCAAAGAAAAAAGAGAAUGUAUGUACAUAUGUAUGCACUUUGAAAGACUUAUGCUGAAUUAUAAAUACUUCUGAAUCCUAAAAUAUAGAGCUUGUCAGUGGUUUCUGUCGAAGAUUGAACAUCUGAUUUCAUUUGUUCACAGCGCAGUCUGUAUGAGAUAUCACAUUAAAACCAGAGAGAAGGGAGAAAGACACCAUAAUAUCCUGUAGGCUUAAAAAAAAAAAAGAAAAAAAAAUUAAUGGCAGCUGAAUAAUUAUUAAUGGGAAUCUCAGCAUGGAUAGAUGUAUGGAGCAGGUUCCUCCAGGAAUCAGCUCUUCCCAUCCAGUCAUCAGUAGAUGAGCUUCAAGAGGCAUGGUUCUUUCUUCUCUUAUAAAUGCAGGAAUAUUUAUCAUUGUGAAGGCUUAUCCAUAAUGCAGGACAGUGGGGAGGUGCCACAUUUGUAGGCACAGCCUGAGGAGCACAGGGAUCUGCCCAGGAAGGAAGAAGAGCCACGAGCAGCUCAGGGAAGGUGGAGGAGGAAGCAGCUCUGACAGAAUCAGUGACCUGCAUUCUCAGACCACUGAAUUGCAGGAAGACUUGGAGACAGAGUGAGCAGACAGCAAAUAAA